rnacentral:rRNA from 1 species
GACGUAGGGCGCGAGCGUUGUCCGGAUUUAUUGGGCGUAAAGAGCUCGUAGGCGGCGUGUCGCGUCGACUGUGAAAACCCGUGGCUCAACCAUGUGGUCUGCAGUCGAUACGGGCAGGCUAGAAUUCGGUAGGGGAGACUGGAAUUCCUGGUGUAGCGGUGAAAUGCGCAGAUAUCAGGAGGAACACCGGUGGCGAAGGCGGGUCUCUGGGCCGAUACUGACGCUGAGGAGCGAAAGCGUGGGGAGCGAACAGG